AGCUCCAAUAGCGGAUAUUAAAGUUGAGGAGGUGAAAAAGAAAGGAGUAGGAAGUCAAGAGACAAGAAGAGGGUAAAGUAGAAGGAUUAAAGCUGAGUAGGCUGGGCGUUUGUCGGAGGUUUAGGGGUGCUCUUGAUCGAGUGUCUCUGGAUGCCAGCAGGUUUACUUUGAAAAAAUUAGAGUGCUCAAAGCAGGCUAAAAUGCCUGAAUAUUCGUGCAUGGAAUAAUAGAAUAGGAUGUCGAUCCUAUUUUGUUGGUUUUCGGGACUCGACAUAAUGAUAAAUAGGGACAGUCGGGGGCAUUUGUAUUCAAACGACAGAGGUGAAAUUCUUGGACCGUUUGAAGACAAACUACUGCGAAAGCAUUUGCCAAGAAUGUUUUCA
rnacentral:rRNA from 1 species